AUUUUAAGGUGAAAAUUUCUCAGCAGCAAGUCAAGGCAUCAUGAAGAGGCUGGUGGGCACUGUGCUGGGGCUUUGGUUUGCCUGGGUUUGCUGUGUGAGAGGGGUGGAUGUGGAGCAGAGUCCCCCAGCCCUGACUCCACAGGAGGGAGCCAGCUCUACACUGUGGUGUAAUUUCUCCACCUUGGCAGACAGUGUGCGGUGGUAUCUUCAGAAGCCCCGGGGCCGCCUCAUCCACCUCAUUUACAUUCCUUCAGGAACGAGGCAGGAAGGAAGAUUAAAUGCCACGACAGUCCUUAAAGAACGCCGCAGCUCACUGCACGUUUCCUCUUUGCGGACCACAGACUCAGGCACUUACUUCUGUGCUGUGCAGCACUGUGCUCCCCGGGCACCUGCAGCCUGUACUCAAACCCUCCGCGGGGCUCAGCCCCUCCUCCAGCCACAGUCACACUGUGAGGCCACCACAGGGCAUUUGCAGUGCUUCUUAUUGGCCUUACAGAUUUGAGACUUUGGUCUUUAUCUUCCUCUCAAUCUGUAUCUUCUUCUGCGCUAGAGUCUCAAACUUGUAGCUAGGAGAGGUCUAUUGAUAGAUAAGAAAGUGAAAGUGAAAGGCGCUCAGUCGGGUCCGACUCUUUGCGACCCCAUGGACUAUA